GAAUAUUGGACAAUGGGGGGAACCCUGAUCCAGCCAUGCCGCGUGUGUGCAGAAGGCCUUUUGGUUGUAAAGCACUUUAAGCGAGGAGGAGGCUACUCUAGCUAAUACCUAGAGAUAGUGGACGUUACUCGCAGAAUAAGCACCGGAUAAAUCUCGGCCCGCAGCCGCGGUAAUACAGAGGGUGCAAGCGUUAAUCGGAUUUACUGUGCGUAAAGCGCGCGUAGGUGGCCAAUUAAGCAAAAUGUGAAAUCCCCGAGCUUAACUUGGGAAUUGCAUUCGAUACUGGUUGGCUAGAGUAUGGGAGAGGAUGGUAGAAUUCCAGGUGUAGCGGUGAAAUGCGUAGAGAUCUGGAGGAAUACCGAUGGCGAAGGCAGCCAUCUGGCCUAAUACUGACACUGAGGUGCGAAAGCAUGGGGAGCAAAC
rnacentral:rRNA from 1 species